rnacentral:lncRNA from 1 species
UCUAAGGUGUUGCUGCCCCGGUUGCCGCUAAUAAAACCAAUGCACAGCACCGGAAUUUCAGGGGCGGAGAAGCAGCUCUGGAGAGAACCUGGCCCGGUCCACGGACUUUACAGAUGAAGCAACUGGGCCAGAGAAGCCAAGAGGCGCUUUGCUUACUCGGGGCCUGACGCGGGCCCUGUGUGACCUUUAUGCUCCGUGCGCACGGUCACCUCACACGCUCUGCCUCCCGUGUGAAUUCGGCAUCAGCCUGAAGCCUCUGCCAAGCCUGGGCUCGGAGAGCUCAGCCCCAUGUGUGGAUGAGAAGAGAGUCGUGGCAACACUGCAGCCUGCAGGAAAAACAUACCACAAAGAACUAGAAGCAAGGGUGCAAGGAGAUACCUGCCAGCCCGCUUCACCCCGGGGACGAUGGUAAACACGGCGUGGUCCACGCACACAGCGGAGCCCGGCCCCGCCUCGAAGAGGAAGGGCCUCUCGCACAGGCUGCAGCGGGGCUGGGCCUCGGAGGCAGGAUGCGCAGAGAGAUAAGCCAGUGAUGCAGAGACAACGCUGUCUGACUCCGCUUGCCUGAGUCUCUCUCGGGUCGUCAGCUUCACGGAGACAGAGAGCAGCGCGGAGGCGGGGACGAGGCCCUGUCUGUUGUUGAUCGGGGACAGGAGUCCGAUUUUGCAAGACGGAACAUGCCGUUGUUCGGGGCACACCUUUCGGAUACACUUAGGACUACGCGUCAAUGUGGUCGUGCGGGUGUCUCGCCACACAUGAAAACUGACAGCAACGAAAGACCAAGUAACCGCGUGGUGUGACUUUGCGCGGGCACAGGUUACUCCCGGAAGAAGGCGCCCCCGACUGUGCAGUCUCUGCAGGGGCAGGACCAGGGACUUUGCACACACUGUCAACUUCCAGCACGUUCUUAGCAUCUGCCUUUUGCAGGUUUUCCGUUUAAGGAGCAAGGCUGGCCAACAAGCCCGCAGCCCUCUCAAACAGCAGCAGGCCGUUCAGAGCUAGCGGGUCGGGCUGGGGGCUCUCCCCACACGCACGCGUCGGGUUUUCGGCAGAGACCCUCCACGUGCGGCCUCAGAGGCUUCGCACUUGCAUCUCUAGAAGAGACGCCGUCUCAAGCAUCUGGGCAGCUGUUUAUUCACGGGCGCCCAAAAGUGCAGCCUGGGGGGCAUAAA